UUUUGGAAUAGCUAAAGCUGUACUACAAAAUAAAAUAGUUACACUUAAUACCUCCAAAUUGUCGGUUUACAACAGAAAUAAGACAAACGUAAGGGAUUUGACCCUUUAAAACUUUUCGAGCCGAAAUAAGUUCUGCAGUUAUACUAUUUAGUAUUUGUUUAUGCUACAAUUAGCUGCCGGACCCUAUCCAACAACAGCGGUAUUGCAUUAAUAGCAGCAGUAACGUAUAACUAAUAUCAAAUAUUCAUUUGUAUGGUUCAUAAGAUGUAUGAAAAUGCUGUACACUGGAAUUAUGCUUGUCUUUAUAAUGUAGGUGAUACGAUAGUGACGAUUACUUUGCCCACAUUUGCUUGCGUGCGACGUUGCUAUGGCAACAAAUGCAGGACGCUUUCAUUAUAAACAACGAAACAGUGUGCAGCAGUUUCUAAUUAAUUGACCGCUUCGUUCAAUACAGUAGGAGCGUUGUAAUAUCGUCGCUAGCAGUGUAGAUUACACAUGUUUAGUAACAUCAGUCCCUGUAAUCACCAGUAGACUAAGAUAUCAGAAUGCCAUACUACCAUUACUACUUCUGCCACUCUUAAUCCUCUUUGAUAUUAAUAUAUUUUUGAGCCACAAGGUGAUGAUGGAGGAGCCAGGAACCAUAGAAGUGACAGUGAAAACUCUGGAUUACCAGAAAAGGACGUUCACUGUCAGGGAAGAGUGGACAGUAAAGCAGUUUAAAGAGGACAUCACUUUUGCUGUUGAAGUCCCAGUGGAUAAGCAGAGGUUGAUCUACCAAGGUAAAGUGCUGCAGAAUGAGAGGACACUUAUAGGCAAAAUACAAACAUGUCUUGGUCAUUUGUCUUGGAGUGAGCACCUCCUCAGAGCUGUCAAUCUUGGGGUGCAAGAAGCGGUGUUUCCAGCUCCUCUCAAUCCUCCACCUUUUCAGGAGCUUCCCACAACCGUAAUUCCAACAACUUCGUUAUGCUUGGGACUUUUCAUUUACCAGUGAACAUCAUGGAUCAACAGCAAAUACAGAUGUCAGUGCAGCAGAUGCUUGCUGGUGUUUGAGAAAUGGGGCAGAAUGUCAGAUUGAUCACCAGCACAGGAGUGAGUCAUCCACGUAUUCCAAACCUCCCUACAUCCUUCUAGCCCCAACUUUUAACAUAUUUAAUUAAGAGCAGUGGCUCAGUGGAUGUCCACAUCAGCGUGGACCAAUCAAUGCAGAGCGAGCCCAAGAUGAGGCUCCAGUUGGCAGAAAACUUACUGAGAGAGACUCAGGCUUUAAUCCACAGACUUGAGGGUCAGUCAAGUGAAGAAUCUUCUGAGCAAAAAACAGAACCACCUUCCUCUUCAUCCUCCAUGUCACAACUCACUCUGGACCAAAAUGGAGGAGAGUCUGUCUCCUGCCCCUGCUACCACUGCGGAGGAAGUCAAGGCAUCCACAGGAAAGGCUGCUGAUGGUGAAGAACCACCACACAGGCCAUUAUAGAGGAGAUAUGAGGAGCCGUAGCCUUGGCAACAACAGAGUCAAAUGGAGAGGAGGAGCCAUGGAAGUGGGUACCCAUCAUAAGACAUGACAUGCUGAAAAAGAGGAAGAUGAAAGCACAGCUCUCACAGCUCUGUCUGAUGCUUAUCUGCAUGGAAUGCCAGCCAAGAGGAUGAAGACUAGACAGGGUGAGGGUCCACAACUCUCUCUUUCUGAGGCCGUAAGUCAAGCUGCCAGAGCUGCUGGAGUUCAGCCUGUUACAACACCAGACAGCCUACAGGGGGAGCUGGAGGCAACAGAACUACAGGAGGCAUACACACAACAGGUGAAGAGUGUUAUACAGAAAAGACUGAGUGAUGAUCCAGACUAUAGCCACCAGCGAUUCCCCAACACACACAGAGCUUUCUCUGAGGACUCCUAACCAACAGCUCAUUUUACACAUCUGUUUUCUCUUCGUCAAAUGCACGACCAUGAUCAUGAUGUCUCGCAGGGUACAGCCAAUAGCUUCUCGCUCUGUGAGGGAACCAGUUGUUUUGAAAUCGGCAACUGUCACACGCAACUCAGAUGUUUGCCAUAGUCAAAUGUGUGGAUAGUGACUCUAAAUAUAGACGGAACCUGUGAAGACCGUAAUAGAGGAGCUGGGCUGCUCUGUGAAGAAACUAGACUUUCUUCCAUUUAUGUCGUGUGCAAUAUUCAGAACAGCAUCUUAUAGUUUUUCGAUGUCACUGAGUCGUCUCAAAGCCAGAUUUACACUGAUAUGAUUCAUGUGUCCCUGUCCAUUGUAAAUAGUUGCAUAUUGGGGCAGUGGUGGCUCAGUGGUUGAGGCUCAGGGGUUACUGACCAGAAGGUCGGGGGUUCAAGCCCCAGCACCACCAAAAUGCCACUGUUGGGCCCUUGAGCAAGGCACUUAACUCCAGGUUGCUCCGGGGGGAUUGUCCCUGUAAUAAGUGCACUGUAAGUCGCUUAGGAUAAAAGCGUCUGCCAAAUGCAUAAAUGUAAUGUAAAUUGCUGUAAUAAGUUGUUUUAAUAAUGACAAUGAUAGCAGUUGUAAUUCAGGCACAAAUACAUGAAGAUACUUCAUUUCAUCUGGACCAGCUCAAUGUGUAGAUAAUGCCAAUAUUUUGCCAAGUUCAAUGUUUACAAGGUCCAAACAUAUUGUACAGCACUGCAUAAAUCAUCACUUAGGACUUUUAAGUAUGUAGCCAAAGUGAUGCUUUGCUGUUAUUUGUCAGUACUCCUUGCAUGCCAAAAUCAUACUGUUGACUCCCAAAUUCAUGCUGUUGAAGAAUGUGGCUGUUCUGAAAUAAAAAUGGUCCAUGUCUCGAAUGACUUAUAGUUAAAGAAAACACAGCUGUAUGCUUCCAUGUUUGUUUCGGCCACUAAUAAUCUUGAAGAAA